rnacentral:rRNA from 1 species
CCUACGGGGGGCUGCAGUAGGGAAUAUUGGACAAUGGGCGCAAGCCUGAUCCAGCCAUCCCGCGUGAAGGAUUAAGGUCCUAUGGAUUGUAAACUUCUUUUCUCUGGGAAUAAAAACCGGUAUUUAUAUCGGCUUGAAGGUACCAGAGGAAUAAGCACCGGCUAACUCCGUGCCAGCAGCCGCGGUAAUACGGAGGGUGCAAGCGUCACCGGGUUUCAAGGGGGUUAAAGGGUGCGUAUGUGGCAUUAGUGAAAGCCCGGAGCUUAACUCCGGAACUGCCAUGGAUACUGUUUAGCUUGAAUCAACUUGAAGUGAAUGGAAUAUUACAUGUAGCGGUGAAAUGCUUAGAUAUGUAAUAGAACACCGAUUGCGAAGGCAGUUCACUAAGGUUGUAUUGACACUGAGGCACGAAAGCGUGGGGAUCAAACAGGAUUAGAUACCCGGGUAGUC